rnacentral:rRNA from 1 species
UACGUAGGUGGCAAGCGUUGUCCGGAAUUAUUGGGCGUAAAGCGCGCGCAGGCGGUCCCUUAAGUCUGAUGUGAAAGCCCACGGCUCAACCGUGGAGGGUCAUUGGAAACUGGGGGACUUGAGUACAGAAGAGGAAAGCGGAAUUCCACGUGUAGCGGUGAAAUGCGUAGAGAUGUGGAGGAACGCCAGUGGCGAAGGCGGCUUUCUGGUCUGUAACUGACGCUGAGGCGCGAAAGCGUGGGGAGCAAACAGG